rnacentral:lncRNA from 1 species
CUGGGAUUACAGGCAUGAGCCACCGCGCCCGGCCGAAGUGUCAACUUUCAAACUCACUUGGACUCUUCUAAGAAUCCAGUUUUUUGCACUUGUGUUAGGGGGCUGUCGUUAACUCCCAGUGGCCGCUGAGGUCCUUGCCUGUGGAUUCCUGCUUCUCAAAGCCAGCAAGGGCGUGUCAAAUCUGCUCAUGCUUGGAAUCUCUCUGACUUUUCCUUGGGUCACAUAUCUCUUGCUUCACCCUCUGCCACACUUUUUUUUUUCCUGAAAGCCAAAAAGAUUCUUUGCUUUAAGGGGUGAUGUAUUUAGAUUGAGAGCCCACCUGGAUAGUGGGUCCUCUCCCCUCCCGUUUUAGAUUCUCAGGCAGUUCUUUAUAGCAGUGUGAAAACGGACUAAUACACAGUGCUUUGUGCUUGGAAAACGGCAUGAAGGAGAUGGAGGUAAUGUGCGAUGACUGAGAGAAUUUGUAGAACAGCAAAAACCACUGAAAUGCCAUUCUUCAAUAGAGGCACCAGAUCUCCAGGUGUGCCUAAAGAAUCUUGGGGAUGUGUCUUCUGAAGCUAAAGAGACCCCUAAGCAUCCUGCAAAAUACCAGUGCACAACAAUUUGGGACAUAGCUUAAGCUUUCUGCUCGAUGCUGGCGACAAAGAGGAGAAAGACAACUUCUACUCUCAGACAACUUAGUCUGCUUUAGGAGUUACAAACACAGACAAUUUCAACACUGGAUGAAAAUGAUGGGACAAAGGUAAAAGGAGAGAGGAAUGCAUCUCAGCUGAGUUUCAGAAAAAAAAAAAGUUUUGAAGAGAUCUCAAUGUUAGGAAGCCAACAAGGCCUGCAAAAGUCACCUAGAUCAUGAAAUUGACUAUGUCAGGGGAGGCAAUUCGUCACAAUCGUGUUUGAAAAUGAGGAUAAGCAUGGAGAGCCAAUGAUUACAUUUCACAAUGUCCUUCAUGG